AUGGUAAUUCCACUUCUGGCUCUAUUUAUACCCUCCUCCCGAAUUUCCAGUGUGCAUAUGUUCUUAUCAUGCACUGGUAGCAGUUGAAGCUGCCAGCAUGAUCUUAUAACUCCCUACUUCGUUUAGGGAAGCUCAGAUCAUCUGGCAGUUUCACCUGUUGUUGGUAGCAUGAGACCAUCAAAACCCUAAUUCCGACAUAACACCAAUCCCUAGCUACUGAAAAUAAAACGAUGGAAAGAAAGGAGAAGAAGGGAUUGGGAUGUGAUUACAGUGGCCCUUGGGGGACGUCUAACGAGACAAACGUUUUUCUAUGCUGGCUAUGUUGCAGCCAACUCUUGAGUACAGGCUGCAGUUUUAGUGCUCAUGAGAAACAGAAUAUGCAGCCACAAGCAUGAGACCUUCAGGAGCACGUACAUGGCACAGGUACUCUGCCGCCCUGUGUCAAUAAUACAAUGACGGGAAAAUUUCUCUCCAUGUAACAUCGUAUUAUUGACACAAGAUGUCACAAUAGUAGUGUAUCCAUGUCAUGUAAGUUUCUCUCCACCACCUGGAUUCAAAUUGAAAAGAAAUAUUUUAUAUUAGUCACUC
rnacentral:sRNA from 1 species